GGUAAGUCCUUUUUAAUCAGAGUUAGAAGUAUGAUAAUAGAAGAACAUAUCAUGCUGGACAAAAUUGAAUAUUGAACUGUCGUUUCUGUAAUCUUGAUAUGAAUCCUUCAUUUUCAAGAGAAAAACUGCAUAAACAAUCUAUAAAGAGAUAUCAGCUAUAUAUGGUGAGGAAUGUUCCAUCAUAUGAGACUAUGAAACAGAGAAAAUGGAGAUUCAAAUGUGGUUGCACUAGCCUACAGAAUGACCUAAGAGGAGGACAUCUAGCAAGAUCAUGUGGUUUGUUUUUUGAGACAACAAAAGUGUCAUAUUAACAGAUUACUUACAAAAAGAUUGACAAUCAUGGUCAUACUUCAAUGGCUAAGGGACAAAAAAAUUAUAGGACAAUAUCAAGAACAAAAAACAUGGUUUGCUAUCAAAAGAUAUGUUGUUGCUAGCUGACAAUGCAUCUGCAAAUUAAGCUGCAAAAUACUUACUUUUCUGCA
rnacentral:lncRNA from 1 species